rnacentral:rRNA from 1 species
GAUGAACGCUGGCGGCGUGCCUAAUACAUGCAAGUCGAGCGAACAGACGAGGAGCUUGCUCCUUUGACGUUAGCGGCGGACGGGUGAGUAACACGUAGGUAACCUACCUAUAAGACUGGGAUAACUUCGGGAAACCGGAGCUAAUACCGGAUAAUAUUUCGAACCGCAUGGUUCGAUAGUGAAAGAUGGCUUUGCUAUCACUUAUAGAUGGACCUGCGCCGUAUUAGCUAGUUGGUAAGGUAACGGCUUACCAAGGCAACGAUACGUAGCCGACCUGAGAGGGGGAUCGCCCACAGGGGAACUGGAACGGGGUCCAGACCCAGGGGGGGGGCAGCGGAGGGAGAUCUGCCGCAGGGGGCAAAAGCCGGCGGGAGCACCGCGGGGUGGGGAAUAAGGGUCUGGGGACGGAAAACCUGUUUUAUGGGGAAAAAAAAAAGGGGAAAUAACCUGUGCCGGUCUUGAGGGUACCUAAUCAAAAAGCCACGGCAAAUGACGGG